UACAGAGGUCCCGAGCGUUGUUCGGAUUCACUGGGCUUAAAGGGCGCGUAGGCGGUCGACCAAGUCAGGGGUGAAAUCCCGCAGCUUAACUGCGGAAGUGCCUUUGAUACUGGUCGUCUGGAGGGAGAUAGGGGUGUGUGGAACUUCCAGUGGAGCGGUGAAAUGCGUAGAUAUCGGGAGGAACACCUGUGGCGAAAGCGGCUCACUGGACCACAACUGACGCUGAUGCGCGAAAGCUAGGGGAGCAAACAGG
rnacentral:rRNA from 1 species